UUCAAUGGGUUGAUUUGAUGGAUUCCAAGCUU
rnacentral:scRNA from 1 species